CAGCUUGGCUUGAAGAGCUUCCCUGCCCUCAGGUCUCUGCAGGGGCCUUGUGAGAGCCAACUUGUUCUGGGGCCCAGGCUACAAAAUUUGGAGGAGGUGGUUUGGCUUGCACCGUAGGAAGUGUUUUCUCAUACCACGGUGACCUACCUCGUGAGGCACUGAGUUACCUGUUCUGGAGGAUGUUGUAGGAACCAGUCCAGGUUGAAGCGGU
rnacentral:lncRNA from 1 species